rnacentral:lncRNA from 1 species
UCUACACCUUGAAGAUAUCUUGAACAAAAUGUCAAACAUUUAUCAGCAAUAUAUCCUUCAGCAAUCGAGCCCUUGGGAUAGGCUCUAUUUCGCACAUAAUCUUUAAGAUGCACAAGAUACCUUCAAGAAUUAAAUAUUUAUUAAAAUAUCAGUAUGCUCUUGUUUCUAAUAAUAUUAUCAAAAGCUUUAAGGUUUGCAAUAAUACCUCUCAAUAGG